AUUGAACGCUGGCGGCAGGCCUAACACAUGCAAGUCGGACGGUAGCACAGAGGAGCUUGCUCUUCGGGUGACGAGUGGCGGACGGGUGAGUAAUGUCUGGGAAACUGCCCGAUGGAGGGGGAUAACUACUGGAAACGGUAGCUAAUACCGCAUAACGUCGCAAGACCAAAGUGGGGGACCUUCGGGCCUCACACCAUCGGAUGUGCCCAGAUGGGAUUAGCUAGUAGGUGGGGUAAUGGCUCACCUAGGCGACGAUCCCUAGCGGGUCUGAGAGGAUGGCCAGCCACACUGGAACUGAGACACGGUCCAGACUCCUACGGGAGGCAGCAGUGGGGAAUAUUGCACAAUGGGCGCAAGCCUGAUGCAGCCAUGCCGCGUGUAUGAAGAAGGCCUUCGGGUUGUAAAGUACUUUCAGCGGGGAGGAAGGCGGUGGAGUUAAUAACUUCACCGAUUGACGUUACCCGCAGAAGAAGCACCGGCUAACUCCGUGCCAGCCGCCGCCGUAA
rnacentral:rRNA from 1 species